rnacentral:rRNA from 1 species
GACGAACGCUGGCGGCGUGCCUAAUACAUGCAAGUCGAACGCAGUGGGGACGGGUGAGUAACACGUGGGUAACCUCCCAUCAGAGGGGAUAACACUUGGAAACAGGUGCUAAACCGAUACUGAUGGAUGGACCCGCGGUGCAUUAGCUAGUUGGUGCGGUAACGGCUCACCAAGGCCACGAUGCAUAGCCGAACUGGGAGGGUUAACGGUCAAACGUGGACUUGGAACAGGGCCAAAACUCUUCGGGAGGCAGCAGUAGGGAAUCUUCGGCCAUGGGCGGAAGUUUGACCGAGCAACGCCGCGUGAGUGAAGAAGGUUUUCGGAUCGUAAAGCCCUGUUGUUAGAGAAGCGGUAACUAACCAGAAAGGCACGGCUAACUACGUGCCAGCAGCCGCGGUAAUAC